rnacentral:rRNA from 1 species
GUGGGGAAUCUUCCGCAAUGGACGAAAGUCUGACGGAGCAACGCCGCGUGAGUGAUGAAGGUCUUCGGAUUGUAAAGCUCUGUUAAUCGGGACGAAAGAGCCUAGUGUGAAUGAUGCUAGGAAGUGACGGUACCGGAAUAGAAAGCCACGGCUAACUACGUGCCAGCAGCCGCGGUAAUACGUAGGUGGCAAGCGUUGUCCGGAAUUAUUGGGCGUAAAGCGCGCGCAGGCGGAUCUGCCAGUCUGUCUUAAAAGUUCGGGGCUUAACCCCGUGAUGGGAUGGAAACUACAGAUCUAGAGUAUCGGAGAGGAAAGUGGAAUUCCUAGUGUAGCGGUGAAAUGCGUAGAUAUUAGGAAGAACACCAGUGGCGAAGGCGACUUUCUGGACGAAAACUGACGCUGAGGCGCGAAAGCCAGGGGAGCGAACGGGAUUAGAUACCCUGGUAGUCC